GCUCGGGUGGUGGAAUUGGUAGACACGUUGGACUUAAAAUCCAAUGGACAAUGCGUCCGUACGGGUUCAAGUCCCGUCCCGAGUA
rnacentral:tRNA from 4 species